UACAGAGGGUGCAAGCGUUAAUCGGAAUUACUGGGCGUAAAGGGCGCGUAGGCGGUUGUGCGAGUGUGGUGUGAAAGCCCCGGGCUUAACCUGGGAAGCGCAUCGCAAACGGCAUGACUGGAGUAGAUGAGAGGGUGGCGGAAUUCCCGGUGUAGUGGUGAAAUGCGUAGAGAUCGGGAGGAACACCAGUGGCGAAGGCGGCCAUCUGGAUCAACACUGACGCUGAGGCACGAAAGCGUGGGGAGCAAACAGG
rnacentral:rRNA from 1 species